UAUAUGGUAUAUAUUUUGUUGUAUAUAUCUUGACAAUCAAGGAUCAUCAUCAUCAUCAUCAUCAGCGGAAUGAACCCGAAAAACUAAAGAAAACACGACGGUAUUUAUGUGUGUGUUGAUUACCUGAUCGUCAUCGUUAUCGUUGUUGUCGUCGUCGUCAAGAUCAACGAAAUAACCCGAAAUUGCAGAAAAAUAACCGACUCGUCAAUAUUAUCGUGUCAUUCUUGUAUUUGUAUAUAAUUUUUUUUUAGUCCAUAUGUGUUGUUGUAUGUUUUUAUUUGUUUGUUUUUGUCUAUAAAAAGAAAAAUGUAAAGAUUACAAAUUAUUGAAAAAAAAAGAAGAAUAAACGUGCAAUCUUUAAAAAUCUUUCGACAUUGUUUGGUGCAAUUUUUUGUUUGUUUGUUUUGUUUCACAUCAAUAAAUUAUGUAAAAAAUGAUGCCUUAAAAUUUUCAUCAUUCGAUCGGUAUAAACAAUCAAAAUUCUUGUCAUAAUCAUCAUCAUCAACAA